UACGAAGGGGGCAAGCGUUGUCCGGAAUUACUGGGCGUAAAGCGCGAUGUAGGUGGUGGGACAAGUCUGCUGUGAAAGCGCCUGGCUUAACCGGGCGAGGUCGGCGGAAACUGUCCGACUCGAGGACGGUAGAGGCGGGUGGAAUUCCGGGUGUAGCGGUGGAAUGCGUAGAGAUCCGGAAGAACACCAGUGGCGAAGGCGGCCCGCCUGGGCAGUGGCUGACGCUGAGGCGCGACAGCGUGGGGAGCAACAGG
rnacentral:rRNA from 1 species